AGGACGAACGCUGGCGGCGUGCUUAACACAUGCAAGUCGAACGAGGUGCUUGCACCUAGUGGCGAACGGGUGAGUAACACGUGAGCAACCUGCCCUUGGCUCUGGGAUAGCCUCCGGAAACGGGGAUUAAUACCGGACAUGACCUUCUCCUGCAUGGGGGAGGGUGGAAAGUUUUUCGGCCAGGGAGGGGCUCGCGGCCUAUCAGCUUGUUGGAGGGGUAACGGCCCACCAAGGCGACGACGGGUAGCCGGCCUGAGAGGGCGACCGGCCACACUGGGACUGAGACACGGCCCAGACUCCUACGGGAGGCAGCAGUGGGGAAUAUUGCACAAUGGGGGAAACCCUGAUGCAGCGACGCCGCGUGCGGGAUGAAGGCCUUCGGGUUGUAAACCGCUUUCAGCAGGGACGAAUUUAAGACGGUACCUGCAGAAGAAGCGCCGGCUAACUACGUGCCAGCAGCCGC
rnacentral:rRNA from 1 species